rnacentral:rRNA from 1 species
AGUCGAGCGGAACGAGUUAUCUGAACCUUCGGGGAACGAUAACGGCGUCGAGCGGCGGACGGGUGAGUAAUGCCUAGGAAAUUGCCCUGAUGUGGGGGAUAACCAUUGGAAACGAUGGCUAAUACCGCAUGAUGCCUACGGGCCAAAGAGGGGGACCUUCGGGCCUCUCGCGUCAGGAUAUGCCUAGGUGGGAUUAGCUAGUUGGUGAGGUAAGGGCUCACCAAGGCGACGAUCCCUAGCUGGUCUGAGAGGAUGAUCAGCCACACUGGGACUGAGACACGGUCCAGACUCCUACGGGAGGCAGCAGUGGGGAAUAUUGCACAAUGGGCGCAAGCCUGAUGCAGCCAUGCCGCGUGUGUGAAGAAGGCCUUCGGGUUGUAAAGCACUUUCAGUCGUGAGGAAGGUAGUGUAGUUAAUAGCUGCAUUAUUUGACGUUAGCGACAGAAGAAGCACCGGCUAACUCCGUGCCAGCAGCCGCGGUAAUACGGAGGGUGCGAGCGUUAAUCGGAAUUACUGGGCGUAAAGCGCAUGCAGGUGGUUUGUUAAGUCAGAUGUGAAAGCCCGGGGCUCAACCUCGGAAUUGCAUUUGAAACUGGCAGACUAGAGUACUGUAGAGGGGGGUAGAAUUCCAGGUGUAGCGGUGAAAUGCGUAGAGAUCUGAAGGAAUACCGGUGGCGAAGGCGGCCCCCUGGACAGAUACUAACACUCAGAUGCGAAAGCGUGGGGGAGCAAACAGGAUUAGAUACCCUGGUAGAAGGGC